AGGGUGGAUCAGGUCUGGAAUAGCACCAAGCUCGCUUGGAUGGGAAUAAAUCCUUACUUUUCUGGCUGCGACUGGGUUCUAGGGGCUGCUCCCCACCAGGGAAAGGUCAUGUGGCCUCAUACUGCACUUGCAGGGUGCAGCAUCAGCAUUCUUCCCUGGCGGGGGACCUGUGGCAUGGAAUUUGCCAUUUCCCUUAUCUGUGUCCCGAGUGUCAUUCAGGUUUCAGGGAAGAAGCAGUCAGGGUCUCCAUCAGCUCUGAAAGCCCAGCUCUCCCCUUUACGUGGAGGGCACUGCCACACAACCAUGUAAGGCCAUCAGAAAACAAGAUCACGGCUGAAAAUACCAGCUCCCACACUUGGAAAAAGUAGGUGAACUCCACGAACAAAAGCCACAGCUGUGUCUCAGGUCAGCAUCAGGUCUUCACACGCAGAGAUUAAUUUCCUUUUUCCAGUGACAAGGUGUUGCGGCAAUGGCCACAAAUUCCAUUUUAGAGAGCUGACGGAGCAGCACGUGUCAGCAGAACUUCACCAAAUGAAUUGCAGUUGCUCUGUGAUGUCUGACGGUUACGUGGUGGAAAGCUGAACUUCUCAGGUUGGGUUUUACAGGACGGAUGCUGACCUGCUCCCUUAUCAGCUCAGCAGCUUAUCACAGCCCUGUACAGACCGGAAAGGAUGUGCACAGCAUGCACAGGCUAUGAGAUAAUGGCAUGUCCUGGAGUGGAAUAACCAGGUUUGGUGCUGCUAAAUAAGAAAGCCUUCAAGAUCACCCUUCUGCCUGAAAGGAGCCAUUUGCACCCACCACUGCCUUUGUAGGGAUGUUCCUAAAGAAUGCCACGUUCAAAGAAACAUCUCUCUUUGUCUCCAAUUUUCCCACCAAAUAAUAAUAAAACCCUGAAAAUAA